UAACACGUAGGUAACCUGCCCAUGUGCCCGGGAUGACUUCUGGAAACGGAUGCUAAAACCGGAUAGGUAGCAGACAAGCAUUUGACUGCUAUUAAAGUGGCCUUGGCCAUGAACAUGGAUGGACCUGCGGUGCAUUAGCUAGUUGGUGAGGUAACGGCCCACCAAGGCGACGAUGCAUAGCCGGCCUGAGAGGGCGGACGGCCACAUUGGGACUGAGACACGGCCCAAACUCCUACGGGAGGCAGCAGUAGGGAAUUUUCGUCAAUGGGGGGAACCCUGAACGAGCAAUGCCGCGUGAGUGAGGAAGGUCUUCGGAUCGUAAAGCUCUGUUGUAAGAGAAAAACGGCACUCAUAGGGAAUGAUGAGUGAGUGAUGGUAUCUUACCAGAAAGUCACGGCUAACUACGUGCCAGCAGCCGCGGUAAUACGUAGGUGGCGAGCGUUAUCCGGAAUGAUUGGGCGUAAAGGGUGCGUAGGUGGCAGAUCAAGUCUGGAGUAAAAGGUAUGGGCUCAACCCGUACUGGCUCUGGAAACUGAUCAGCUAGAGAACAGAAGAGGACGGCGGAACUCCAUGUGUAGCGGUAAAAUGCGUAGAUAUAUGGAAGAACACCGGUGGCGAAGGCGGCCGUCUGGUCUGGAUUCUGACACUGAAGCACGAAAGCGUGGGGAGCAAAUAGGAUUAGAUACCCUAGUAGUCCACGCCGUAAACGAUGAGAACUAGGUGU
rnacentral:rRNA from 1 species